rfam:Strongyloides ratti strain ED321 Heterogonic genome assembly, chromosome: 2
GGGGGUGUAGCUCAGUGGUAGAGUAUUCCCUUCGCAUGGGAAAAGUCGCGGGUUCAAAUCUCCGUCACCUCCA